rnacentral:rRNA from 1 species
CCUACGGGUGGCAGCAGUCGAGAAUCAUUCACAAUGGGGGAAACCCUGAUGGGGCGACGCCGCGUGGGGGAAUGAAGGUCUCCGGAUUGUAAACCCCUGUCAUGUGGGAGCAAAUUAAAAAGAUAGUACCACAAGAGGAAGAGACGGCUAACUCGGUGCCAGCAGCCGCGGUAAUACAGAGGUCUCAAGCGUUGUUCGGAAUCACUGGGCGUAAAGCGUGCGUAGGCUGUUUCGUAAGUCGUGUGUGAAAGGCGCGGGCUCAACCCGCGGACGGCACAUGAUACUGCGAGACUAGAGUAAUGGAGGGGUAACCGGAAUUCUCGGUGUAGCAGUGAAAUGCGUAGAUAUCGGGAGGAACACUCGUGGCGAAGGCGGGUUCCUGGACAUUAACUGACGCUGAGGCACGAAGGCCAGGGGAGCGAAAAGGAUUAGAUACCCUUGUAGUC